CGUAGGGUGCGAGCGUUAAUCGGAAUUACUGGGCGUAAAACGUGCGCAGGCGGUUUUGUAAGACAGGCGUGAAAUCCCCGGGCUCAACCUGGGAACUGCGCUUGUGACUGCAAGGCUAGAGUACGGCAGAGGGGGGUGGAAUUCCACGUGUAGCAGUGAAAUGCGUAGAGAUGUGGAGGAACACCAAUGGCGAAGGCAGCCCCCUGGGUCGAUACUGACGCUCAUGCACGAAAGCGUGGGUAGCAAACAGGAUUAGAUACCCUGGUAGUCCACGCCCUAAACGAUGUCAACUAGGUGUUGGGUGGGUAAAACCAUUUAGUACCGGAGCUAACGCGUGAAGUUGACCGCCUGGGGAGUACGGCCGCAAGGUUA
rnacentral:rRNA from 1 species